rnacentral:rRNA from 1 species
UGGGGAAUAUUGGACAAUGGGGGAAACCCUGAUCCAGCAAUGCCGCGUGAGUGAAGAAGGCCUUCGGGUUGUAAAGCUCUUUUAAUAGGGAAGAUAAUGACGGUACCUAUAGAAUAAGCCCCGGCUAAAUCCGUGCCAGCAGCCGCGGUAAGACGGAUGGGGCUAGCGUUGUUCGGAAUUACUGGGCGUAAAGGGCGCGUAGGCGGCCACUUAAGUUAGACGUGAAAGCCCUGGGCUUAACCCAGGAAUUGCGCUUAAUACUGGGUGGCUAGAGAUCGAUAGAGGAAAGCGGAAUUCCUAGUGUAGAGGUGAAAUUCGUAGAUAUUAGGAAGAACACCAGAGGCGAAGGCGGCUUUCUGGAUCGAUACUGACGCUGAGGCGCGAAAGCGUGGGGAGCAAACAGG